UGAUAACAUAGCUAUAUCACCGAUUCCCGUAUGAUCACCAAAGUUAAGCAACGUCGAACCUGGGCAGUAUUUAGAUUGGUGACCGCUUGAGAAUAUCAAAUGC